rnacentral:lncRNA from 7 species
ACCCAGGGUUCAGAGGCAUAAUGUACAGCUCAAGUUUCAGGUGGGCUUAGCAGGAAAGUGAAGACAGAAGAAAGCAAAUGGAUGGGCUUUUGCUACUCAACUGCAGCCACCAAAAGGAGACAGCAUGAGAAUGCAGGAGGUCAGAGGCUGCCUACUUCUGUUAAGGCAUGGAAAGAGAACCAGAUGAAGAAUAAUACAAGCAUUACCUGUUGGGGAGUAAAGUCAGGAGGAGUAAGGACAAUACAAAAACUGAGGAGGAGGAUGGAUAGAAGUUUGGAAGGAUUUCUGCUUCUCUCUUUCACCUCCCAGUGACAUUUGGUGUCAAGCCUAUCACAAAUUUACCACGGCGUUUUGAAGACAAAACUGCUGUAAUAACUUCGGAAGAGCAUGACAUCCAUAUAAUAUCGUUAACUAUGCAUAAUGUCACCAGCUGCGUUUGCCCAUUGUUGUUGAUACUUAACCAUUACUCUCCUUCUACAACUUGAAAGUACUUUUCAAAUAUAUGUUACAGCAUGAUCAAACAAAUUUAGAUAAGGCUGACACAGACAGUUUCUUUGUUUGGCAUUGAUUUUUCUCUACUAGAAAUGCUAUUAAACUGAAGCAAAAGGCAUUUUUCUUCUGCACGGUUUUAGUACUUCUGUUGAUUGAAUUCAAAAGUCUAUACUAAUCAGUGCAGACCUCACUGUAAAUAAACAUGAAAUACUGUACAGCUUCAGAAUGUUUCUCAUUACCUAGAUGCUGGGAAAUGGAGAAAAUAGCAGUGUGCAAACACCUCUGUCACACAAGUUACCCAGAUUUCUUCUUUUUUUACACUGAAUUUGGAGAAAAUGGUAUUUUUGUCACUAUGCUUUAAGCUUCCUAAAUGAUAUUUUGGAAAAUUGGAGUGCAUACAGGUUCAAAGACAGUGCCUACAUCCUUUGGUGGCACUUCUAUUACUGAUCUAUAGAGCAUGCUUGUAUUCAGCUACUCUAAAAAGCUGUAUUUGUGCCUUCAGUGUUAUCACCAAAUUAAUUAAUUUCAAAUUAAGCUCAAACUAUAGUCACACAGGCAGUUAAAGCAGUGCAGCUGAGAUGCACCAUAAAUCGUGCCUGAGCCUGGAGAUGGAAAUGAGUGGCUGGGGACUGGGGAAGCAAGCCAGACCUUACGUCAGUGCUGCCAGCAAACAGAAAUGAUGUAAUAAAAAUCCACAUCCUGAAUUUCAGUUUCUUAAUAAUAUUAUCAGUCUAGAUGGCAUAGAAAGUACAGAUACUUUGAAUAAUAUGUUUCUUUCAGACUAUCAAAACUGACCCAUCUAAAUCAGUUAUCAC